CACGUAGGGGGCGAGCGUUGUCCGGAAUCAUUGGGCGUAAAGAGCGCGCAGGCGGUAUGACAAGUCAGAUGUGAAAGAGGCCGGCUUAACCGGCAAGGGUCAUUUGAAACUGUCAGACUAGAGUGCAGCGGAGGAUAGUGGAAUUCCCGGUGUAGUGGUGAAAUGCGUAGAUAUCGGGAGGAACACCAGUGGCGAAGGCGACUAUCUGGGCUGCAACUGACGCUGAGGCGCGAAAGCUAGGGGAGCAAACGGG
rnacentral:rRNA from 1 species